GAAGAGGGGGAGCGGUGUAGUUUCAGAAUGGAGGCAGUGGAUAAUAUGCGAUGCAAAUAUUAUAAGACGUAUUGAGACUAAUUCCCUUCUGCAAGUAUGCUCUUCCACCAUACUGGUAAGACAGCGGUCAACAAACAAACUCAUCCACACUGAUUCGUGUUGGCCUGUAUAGACCACUGUAGUCACGUGUUACACCCAUAUUAGGAACUCCGGGUCUUAACCAUGAAAGGGGUUUUGGAAAAAUCGCACCAUGUGUUAAACAAAAAUGUUCAAAACCCGAUUUUUUUCUGUGUACGGUUUUCUCCCGAGUAUCAGCGAAGCAUCUGGAUAGCGAUGUCGUUAAAUAGCCUUAAUACUGAUAGCGUUUGUUUUGUGCUCUUAUUUUGAUAGCACGUCCUGUAAUCGACCACGAAAACUGUCCUAGUUGCAGUCUUCACGCAGCUUGAACGGAGAGAGAGAGAGAAGUUGGUCAGUUCUUAAAGGUGGUAUAAAUAAGCGACCGCUGAGUAUGUCCGGUGAUGCUGUGAAAUGGAAUAAGCGCGCAUCCAUGCUGUAUGCAGUGGGAAUAUGGACCAUGCUCGGGACCUAUGGAUAUUAUAGAUAUCAACACAGAAAUGACCCGCCAGUUGAAAUGCCUAAAGAAGAGGAAGACACAAGACCGAACGUAAAAACAAUCAAAACAUCACAUGUGUCGACGACAAUAGUCUACAAAGAAGAUUUUGUGCCAUAUUCCACAAGAUUUCUGAACCUUUUCAGACCCACAACUAACAGCUCUUCAGGGUGUGAAGAUGAUGAAAAAUGAAGAGGAAGCUUGAUUUGUAAAGGCUGUGGAUUAAUAAAAAUGGACGGUGGCUCUCGUUCCACACAUUCUACAACAUAAAAUUCUUAGAGGAGGAAUGCGUUGCAUUUGCCUAUUUGCUUGCACAGUUUCAGAAAUGUCAGUGGCUGUUUUUAAUUGUCUUAAAAUAAUUGUUUUUUUUCCCCCAGUGUUGUUUUUUCUAUCACCAAUAUUCAAACGUUUUGUUGCUUUUGUUUUUUUUUUCUUUUCUAAGCAUUUUGCAAGAGGAGGUUUGAUAUAACUUGACAUUUGUGGUAUGUGAUAUUUCCAUAUGUUAGAAAUAGUGCAUAGUGCAUCUGUUGCCAUUAUCUCAGUACUUAGUGCCAAAAGCAUUAUUAUUGUGACCUACCUGUGUGUGCAAAGUAGCUCCAGGACUCUGGCCAAUGUCUGUGUGUGGAAAAAAAAACUUUCUUAAAGUUUAAUGAGGCCUUCUGUGGAAAAAGUGUCACUUAUCUCAAAACCUGUUGAAUAACUAUGAGAGGAUAUACUGUAUGUGUCUGCCAGGUGAUUUACAUAUUGUUCCAAAGACACACACAAACAACAUACAGCAACUUGCAGAAUUACUGGAACCUUCAGGGGGGCAAAAGGGUUUUACUUAGAAGCUUGAGCUCACAUUGAAAAUGAAAAUUGUAAGAGUGAAGGUCACAAAGACUGCUCAACUAUCUAGUGUUUCAAUAAAACGUCUGACUGAAGUGACCUCUGUGUUUAAGUCAAUAGGAAAGACAUCCAUAAAUAGGUCACUAGGACACCGGACCCCCCACUGUAGUGUUCAAGCAAUCAGGCCUAUGUCUUGAUGUCCUGUACAUGGUGCACUAAUGCAUAAGCAUCACUGUCACCAAAUGCACACUUUCAAAAACACUUUCUUACAUGUGUUAUGCUGUCAGGGGCUUUUGUCUACUUGGCGGGAAGGUUCAGUUACAAGUUAUUCAGAUGGAUCACUUUUAUUCUAGGAUGAAACGUUUCACUCCUGAUGGUAGUGGGUUCUUCUUCCAGUGCCCUCCAUUCACAGGUCGUAAGGGGUCAUUUCACAAAAUGGUUGGGUAAGUAUGAAAAUGAUUCAUCCAUAUGAUAUGGUGUUUAACCCUACACAUGGGUGGUUGGUUAGUGUAGUGGGUAACAGCUCUGCCUUCUACGCUGUAGACUAGGGUUCAAUCCCCCGCCUGGGUCAGCCCCCUACACUGCACCAAUUAGAGUCCUUGGGCAAGACUCCUAACACCGCCUUCGCCUACCUGUGUAAAAUGAUCAAAUUGUAAGUCGCUCUGGAUAAGAGCGCCAGCCAAAUGCUGUAAAUGUAAAAACACUUUAGGCUUAAAUGAAAAUUGUGUGUUUUUAUAUUGGCAGUUGAGUAAGAUUACUUAAUAAUUUGACACCUGAUCUCUGCUUAGUUGAGCACCUGUGGGAGAUUUUAGACUGUGAUCACCACCACUAUCUUUUGGAAGAAUGGCCUGUUGCAGAAAUCUGCCAAGUGUGCGCGCUGGAGCUGUUCUGGCUGCUAGUGGUUGGGUCAGCUUUGUUCAGUAAAGCUUUACUGGCAUCACAAUGUCCUGCAGGUAGUCUUAGAAACAAGUAGCACUGGCCCUCCGGAUCACGGAAGCACGUUUUAGAACAUGUUAUAUGAGGAAAUAUGUGGACGGCAUGGGGUGCGGGCCUAAUCUUGUAGUGCUGACGUUUAUGUGACGUCGGUACUGAAGGCUGUGAAACCGGAAGUUCAAAUGUUCCCCGGG
ensembl:lncRNA